rnacentral:rRNA from 1 species
CGGGUGGUAAUACCGGAUGCUCCGCUCCAUCGCAUGGUGGGGUGGGAAAUGCUUUUGCGGCAUGGGAUGGGGUCGCGUCCUAUCAGCUUGUUGGCGGGGUGAUGGCCCACCAAGGCGUUGACGGGUAGCCGGCCUGAGAGGGUGACCGGCCACAUUGGGACUGAGAUACGGCCCAGACUCCUACGGGAGGCAGCAGUGGGGAAUAUUGCACAAUGGGCGCAAGCCUGAUGCAGCGACGCCGCGUGCGGGAUGGAGGCCUUCGGGUUGUAAACCGCUUUUGUUCAAGGGCAAGGCACGGUUUCGGCCGUGUUGAGUGGAUUGUUCGAAUAAGCACCGGCUAACUACGUGCCAGCAGCCGCGGUAAUACGUAGGGUGCGAGCGUUAUCCGGAUUUAUUGGGCGUAAAGGGCUCGUAGGCGGUUCGUCGCGUCCGGUGUGAAAGUCCAUCGCCUAACGGUGGAUCUGCGCCGGGUACGGGCGGGCUGGAGUGCGGUAGGGGAGACUGGAAUUCCCGGUGUAACGGUGGAAUGUGUAGAUAUCGGGAAAGAACACCA